rnacentral:pre_miRNA from 1 species
GAUGUACUCCCUCCGUCCGGAAAUACUUGUUAGAGGAAUGAAUGUAUCUAGAUGUAUUUUAGUUUUAGAUACAUCUAUUUGUAUCCAUUUCUACGACAAGUAUUUUCAGAUGGAGGAAGUACUGU